rnacentral:lncRNA from 1 species
ACGACAAAAUGAAAUCACAAGUGCACCAAAAUUUAUGCUCAAUAUAUAUUCUCACAUGCAUCUUCCACGCAUAUUUUAUUACUGGGUCACAUCACUGUACAUUGUUCAACAUGAUGGAGUAGACAAAUUCUAGAAAUCGCAUACUAUGCAAUGACAACCCCAAAGGGAACCGUGGACAGGUGCACAAUAAGCUUUCUUUGUGUGAGCUCCCCAGGAUCCUCGGCAGGCAUUCUGGCAUGCUAAUUCAUCGCAAGUAGCGCCAUAAAAAGGAACGUGCAGUUCACAGUGCAUUUCUGUAGACACGAAUAUACAGAAUUAAAAGAAGUCCAAAUUGAGAAAGUUCAAAGGAAUCCAUGCAGUUCAGCUGACAAUAUUGAUUUACUCUGGGUGGCAUCGGAAAGGAAUCAUACAUGGGGAUAGGGAUGACAAUUUCGUACCAGCAUGAGUAGAAUUUCCUAGCAGCAAAAGCACAAAAAGGCAAAGAAGAAUAGUUUUCUGCUCCAUAAGAUCAAUGCAAGCUGCUUUUUCUUGUUUAUGUUUGGGCGUCCA